AUUUUUUAUUUGCCGGUUCAAAGCCCUUUUUCAUAAAUAUUCGUGAAAAUGCAAACAUUGAUUUUGCUCCUAUUUUCGGCAGUUUGUUCCUAUUUUCGGCAGGCUGUGUUCCUAUUUUCGGCAGCGCGAAUACGGGUCAGAAAAUGUUUGUAUCAAUGUGAAUAUGUACAAAAAAAUGUUUAAAGCAAUUUAACACUCUUACUUUCCUAACAUUGGUGUUAAAAAGCACUUUAAUUAUUAAUUUUAUGUUGCUUAUUUUGGCUCGUUUUGACAGCCAUUUUGAUGCGACGUUUAAACAGAGCAGCCAUUGACAGUUUGAUGGUUAUAGCGUACGGUGCGAACUGGCUUACAAAUAUUUAUUUUUCUCUUAAGUUAGUGCAUUUUUUGUCGUAAAAUUGGUGAUAUUUGGUACAAGAAAGGUCAUAUUAUGUAUCGACAUACGCAUUGUAGUGUUCUGAUCAAUUUUAAAAGGAAUAUUCAGCCAAAUUGUGUGUGUUUGUUAUUAUUCCGAGUUUCGACAGGAGCCCACAACAUUGAGCUGUCAAAAAUGAACAUUUACUGUGUACCUAUUUUCGGCAGCAUUUACAGUGAAAAAUAACCUGUUUAUCGUGAUUUUAAAAUUCCGAACAAGUUAGAAUAAAUUAAAUAAGCAUAAAAUCUAGCAUAAAAUAUACACCACUUUUUCAUUGUUUUACUGUUCUGAUUCUCUUAAUCACAAAACCUGCCGAACGAUUGGCUGACAGCAAAGCUGCCGAAAAAAAGCACAAUUUAUUUGAUAUUUUGGAAAAUACGUAAUUAAAUGGUGUGAAACUUCGUAUGUGAAUAUCAAAUAAGUACACUUUCUCUACAAAAUUGUAUUUUGUGAAAUUUUUUACCGCAUUUGUGCAGAAUUUCACGUUUUUAGCUACCCUGCCGAAAAUAGGUACACUGCCGAAAACUGGUACAGUUAUCCUAUAUUUCUUCGAUCGGAAUCCAAGCGUUUUCCCUGAAAUUUCUGCUCACUUUUUCGAUCGCUUUUGGCGGAAAGCGAUCGAAAAUCCGCCCGCUGCGCAAAGCGACAGAAGAAAUCAUGCCGUUUGGAGAAUUUUAUCAUGCCAUCUUUUUCCCUCCAACAACAAAUUUGUCAAGCAGCUCGUCGAGCUACCCGUCCCUGGCUCCGCCUCAUACCCCUCGCCUGUGCGCGCUGUCCAAAGUGGGUAUAGGGAUUAGGUGGGCUUAUAGGUUUGGCGGGAAGGCCAUAUUGGACGAACGAAUGACAGGAGGGGACUCGAUUGUGAUACGUAGUUUUUCACCUACACUACGACACAUCAACCAAAACAGCCAUUGGAAUUCACACGCAUACAUCAACAAAUGAUCGAAUCCCCUCCUGUCAUUUCGUUUUCAUUUUUCUACAACACGGCUGUCAAAUUGUUCGGGAUAAGCCCACCUGUAUAAUGAACCCACUUUGGCGCUGUCGAUGGUUAGGAUGUGUUGGUGCGUCCAAGGUGUUAUAAAUGACAAGGUGAAGUUGUUCAGAGCAAAAUGACAUUUCUCGACUUGACAUUUCUCUUCCGGGGGCUCCGGUAUAAAAAUUCGGGAGGGCUGGUGCGGGGUAUUGAAAUUUGUAUGCAGAGAGUGACAGAUGUCCCCCACAAUGUCGCCCAGCAAAAGCGAUAAAAAUCAACCUUCUAAAUACAUUAUCCUUGCUCCAACGGCAAAUUUGUCAAGCAGCUCGUCGAGCUACCCGUCCCUGGCUCCGCCUCAUACCCCUCGCCUGAGCGCGCUGUCGAUGGUUUGGAUGUGUUGGUGCGUCAGACGGCCAAUCGCUGUUAGCCGUCGUCCGUGCUUUUUCCCUCCAUAGCGCCAUCUCUUUCUCGCGUGUGGUCAAUGCUCGCGAGCUGUUGUGGCGCCUAAAAAUGCCGUUAGAAAACAUUGCGGCGAUGAAGUUGCAUUUUCACAAAUCAAACCAAAAAAAGCGCAAUGAGUUCAAUUGCUGCAAUGUAAAAACAACUACGGAAUCGCUAGCGCACGAUGGAGGGUUUGCUGUGCAACGCGCUGAACCCUAAUUCGCAUUGACACGUUCAGCUCGGCGCUGAUUUUUAUCAACUCCGUUCCGCCAGCAUCAAGAACCCAAGCUGAUAGUGAAACCAGCAUCCUGGAAAGUUCACUGGUAGUCGUUGGGACAUGUCAUCGAUCUGAACGUGUUAAGCAUUAAGCAUAACUUUGUUACCCUAAGCUUUUGCUUUCGUAUGAUGUACAUUACACAGAUAUCCAGAGCCAUCUGCGCGUGGGUGUGAGCGUGCGUGUGUGUGCAACACUUUCGCCAAAUGUGUUUUCUUCCGGAAUGUAUGCAUCGAGCAGGAGACAGUGUGGCAGUAUGCAAGUAACCCGCUGGAUGGGAGCGGUCGCGUGGCACCGCCAUCAUUCCGCACAUCUGCAUGCCCGUCGUGGGUUCUAACCGCGUAUGAACCGUCCGCCGUAGCAAGGGGUGACUAUCCGGCUACGUGGUACUCAAGUCCUGAAAAGGCCGGCAUGACCGCGUAGGCCAUUACACCAAUAAUAAGAAUAAUAAUAAGAAAAAGAAGAACUUACCAUAGCAGUCCACACUCGGGGAAGGUUUUUGUUUUGACUUUGGUGCUGCCGGGCUACCGCUGUGGCGCGACAAAUGCACGGAAUGCACUCGACCAAAACAUGAACCUACCGAUCCGAACCCAUUCCAAGGCAUUGCCGGUCAAUCGGCGUCAUGAUACCGACUCUAAGCCAACAAGCCACCAGAUUCUGGACGGACAAGUGCAGCACCAUACGCGCACCGUAAUAAACAAAUCCAGAAUCCUCUUUUGUAUGAAUUCAAUUCAAAAUGUUGUUUCCACUUGCGUCUGCUAGCUGAAUUAGAAAUAAAUGUGCAACAUAUCGCACGCACGUUUGCUUAGAUCGUGUGUCUUUUUAAUACCCCCAUCAGCAGAGCCGAUCGCAAAGAUGCCAAUGCCAAUGGUUGUGUUGUCUCUCAGGUAGCGAGAUCGAAAAUGCAUGGACGUUGUAGCCGCAGCGGAUGAAAAUGUACGCAUCAGAAUCAAAUAGUUUUGGGGUUUCCAAACGCACGCACACACACAAACACGCGCGCGCAAACUCACACACUCACACACACACACACACACAAACACGCGCGCGCAAACUCACACACUCACACACACACACACACAGACACACGCACACACGCAAACACACACACACGCACGCACACACGCACGCACGCACACAUGCAUGUACGCGCGCACGCGAGCACGCACCCACGAAAGCGCGCAGGCGACAACGCACCUACGAACGCGCGCACGCGAGAACGCAUCUACGAACCCACGCACACGCACGAGCGAGUACGGCUACCUUCCCGCUUGGCAAAGAGUAACUCAUUUUGAUGCCUCACGCUACCCCUGGCCUUAGUUUUAAAGGAAUCAUGCGACACACUCGUACUCCACUACCCCAUCCCAUGGAAAAACGCUCCCACCAUCGAGGUGUUGACCAAAAUUUCGCUGUGUGCAUGAGACACACACUCGCAAUCCUCCAGCCCUCCACAGCUGAACGCUCCCACCGUUGCGAAGAUAGAAUUUUUGCUGUGAGCGUGAGACCUUGAAGCGCAAGAGAUGACACUAUGUGUAAAGACGAUCAUAAUUCGAUAUGGUCAAAAUGCGUCGAUUGUCGUUUCAUUUAUCUGGUAAUGAUGUAUUCACUUCAUCAAAAUUUUUAACGUUAACAACAUGGCUGAUAACAAUAGUUGAAAUGUAAAUCAGAAUAAAAUCAAUUCAUGUAAAGUAAAAUAAAUUCCAUUAUACUUUAUUUUGACCAUAUGAUCAACACUUGUACAUAGUGCCAUUUACUUUGUGUUCUUCACUCUCGCGCUGUGUUGUGAUCGUUCGAAACUCAUCGCCAGAACGAAUGCAAAUCUCAUUUGGGAAACAUUGGUGCCGGUAAAUGCAGCGAAAAUUAUGAAAUGAUAAUAGAAAAGUGGUUAAGUAAAUCAUGAAGGAUGUCAACGCAGGCGUAAAUGCAGUAUGUUUUGUUACAUGAUCUACGGCUAUUUCAUUGCCAAAGCUCCUGAUAACAGAUCAAAGCAGAUGGAUCGGGCUUACAGAGUCGCCAUUUAACUUAAAAUAUCUUCGUGAUCGGCAAACGCAUCAAACACCAAGUGUUUCUCUUCCAACAGCACGCGCCAUAGGUGGAGCAAGCAGCCAACGAUUUGAUCGCCAGUACGCGCCAUCAAGAAUUGAUAUUUUGCCAAACAGUACUGUGAAUAAAAAACUGCACACUUACUGUCCGAA